rnacentral:rRNA from 1 species
GUCGAGCGGACAGAAGGGAGCUUGCUCCCUGAUGUUAGCGGCGGACGGGUGAGUAACACGUGGGUAACCUGCCUGUAAGACUGGGAUAACUCCGGGAAACCGGGGCUAAUACCGGAUGCUUGUUUGAACCGCAUGGUUCAAACAUAAAAGGUGGCUUCGGCUAUCACUUACAGAUGGACCCGCGGCGCAUUAGCUAGUUGGUGGGGUAAUGGCUCACCAAGGCAACGAUGCGUAGCCGACCUGAGAGGGUGAUCGGCCACACUGGGACUGAGACACGGCCCAGACUCCUACGGGAGGCAGCAGUAGGGAAUCUUCCGCAAUGGACGAAAGUCUGACGGAGCAACGCCGCGUGAGUGAUGAAGGUUUUCGGAUCGUAAAGCUCUGUUGUUAGGGAAGAACAAG